rnacentral:rRNA from 1 species
GACGAACGCUGGCGGCGUGCUUAACACAUGCAAGUCGAACGCUGAAGCUCAGCUUUUGUUGGGUGGAUUAGUGGCGAACGGGUGAGUAACACGUGAGUAACCUGCCUCCUUCUUUGGGAUAACGACCGGAAACGAGUGCUAAUACUGGCUAUUCAUUGGUCUUCGCAUGGGGGUUGGUGGAUAGGGCUUUUCUGGUGCGGGAUGGGCUCGCGGCCUAUCAGCUUGUUGGGGGGGUGAUGGCCUACCAAGGCUUUGACGGGUAGCGGGCCUGAGAGGGUGACCGGGCACUGUGGGACGGUCCAGCGUCCCAGGGGCGGACGGGAGGCAGAAGUGUGGAAAAUUGGACAAUGGGCGCAACACUGAUGCAGCGACGCUGCGGGAGGGAUGGGGGCUUUAGAGUUGUGAACCUCUGGCGCUCAGGGGCAAGCCUAAACAAUGGUUGUGUUGAGGGUAGUGGGUAAAGAAGCGCCGGCUAACUACGUG